AUUAGCCAUGCUAGUUGCACGAGUUCAGACUCGUAGCAUAUAGCUCAGUAACACGUGGCCAAACUACCCUACAGACCGCGAUAACCUCGGGAAACUGAGGCCAAUAGCGGAUAUAACUCUCAGACUGGAGUGUCGAGAGUUAGAAACGUUCCGGCGCUGUAGGAUGUGGCUGCGGCCGAUUAGGUAGAUGGUGGGGUAACGGCCCACCAUGCCGAUAAUCGGUACGGGUUGUGAGAGCAAGAGCCUGGAGACGGUAUCUGAGACAAGAUACCGGGCCCUACGGGGCGCAGCAGGCGCGAAACCUUUACACUGCACGACAGUGCGAUAGGGGGACUCCGAGUGUGAGGGCAUAUAGCCCUCGCUUUUCUGUACCGUAAGGUGGUACAGGAACAAGGACUGGGCAAGACCGGUGCCAGCCGCCGCGGUAAUACCGGCAGUCCAAGUGAUGGCCGAUAUUAUUGGGCCUAAAGCGUCCGUAGCUUGCUGUGUAAGUCCGUUGGGAAAUCGACGAGCUCAACUGGUCGGCGUCCGGUGGAAACUGCCCGGCUUGGGGCCGAAAGACUCGACGGGUACGUCCGGGGUAGGAGUGAAAUCCUGUAAUCCUGGACGGACCACCAAUGGGGAAACCACGUUGAGAGACCGGACCCGACAGUGAGGGACGAAAGCUAGGGUCUCGAACCGGAUUAGAUACCCGGGUAGUCCUAGCUGUAAACGAUGCUCGCUAGGUAUGUCAUGCGCCAUGAGCAUGUGCUGCGCCGUAGUGAAGACGAUAAGCGAGCUGCCUGGGAAGUACGUCUGCAAGGAUGAAACUUAAAGGAAUUGGCGGGGGAGCACCACAACCGGAGGAGCCUGCGUUUAAUUGGACUCACGCCGGACAUCUCACNGUCCUGACAGUAGUAAUGACGGUCAGGUGACGACCUUACCGA
rnacentral:rRNA from 1 species